rnacentral:lncRNA from 1 species
CUACUUCAUCAAUUAAGGCCUAAUUAGCUAAUUUACCACACCUUGCAUAGCAAUGUACAACCCACAGAAUCCGUUCAGGAUGUUCAUACUGUGUCGUAAUGUAUAUAUGAUUGUUCUAAGCCAUUUCGAAGCAAAGUUGUGGGAUGUUGAACCUGACGUGAAAAAUGCCCUCAUUGACAUUUUAAACAAAAGCUCCAUGUAGAAAAUUUUCUGAAAAAAUUAUUGGAACCAAACUUACUUUAUGACACAUCCCAUCGAUUUAUCUUUGAAGCAAAAAAAAAAAAUCAUAGUGAUAACCCAAGUAGAACAAGAGAUAUUGCUCCUCCAUAAUGGGAAGCGCAUGAAAAUUGUUGUUUUGAGAAAUCGAGAUAAAACGUAGGCACACAUUUUUAUUACAGAAGAUAUGACCAAACCACCUCAAAAUGCACCAGAAGCAUAGUCCGAAUGCAUCCUACGCUCAUGCCUCCUCUUGACUAGCUUCUGGAGUUCCAGUGAGGCUGUUCUUUUCUUUGUGGAGCUGAUGCUGCGCCGGUGGUCUUUUUCUCUGGCCCUCCUGGAGCCAGUGCCUGUCGCAUUCAUGUCCAUUUCACCCAAGAUUGCCG